rnacentral:rRNA from 1 species
GAUGAACGCUGGCGGCGUGCCUAACACAUGCAAGUCGAGCGGCAGCGCGAGGAGUUCUCUCCUUGGCCGAGAGCGACGGACGGCUGAGUGAGGCGCAGGAACGUGCCCUGACGUGAGGCAUGACUGAACGAAGGGAUGGCUAAUGCCGCAUCGGAUCUUCGCAUUAGAGUCGUCGGACGCGUUGGGAGCGGCCUGCGUGAGAGGGGGUAGUUGGUGACGUAAUGGCUCACCAAGCCGACGAUCGAUAGCUGGUAUGAGAGGAUGAUCAGCCAGACUGGGACUGAGACACGGCCCAGACUCCUACGGGAGGCAGCAGUGAGGAAUCUGCCACAAUGGGCGAAAGCCUGAUGGAGCAACGCCGCGUGAAGGAUGAAGGUCCUAGGGUCGUAAACUGCUUUUAUAAGUGAAGAAUAUGACGGUAACUUAUGAAUAAGCACCGGCUAACUACGUG